GAUGAGCCCCACCUUCACUACCCUUCAUGACCAGGCAUUGGGACCCAGUCAACGACAAGCAAGACGAGACUCAAUCGACGCCAAGCCCCCUUUGAUCCUAUAUUUUCAGUCGAGCUGCUUUCCUUUCUUCUCUUUCUCGUUCCCCCGCUACCACCACUAUCACUAGCCUUGGGCCUUCUAACUGUGACCCACCACCACCAAACUCCGCCACCCUUUUUCUCUCCCUCUUUCCCACCCUCGAUUAAACCUCAUGAAGACCCCUUCCCCUCUUUGUUUUCUUCUCUCUCUAUUUCUCUUUUUCUCUCUCUUUCUCUCCCUAGGCCUCUACGUGGACCUCAGUAGAGGCCCCUUUCUCUAUACUCUUUUCUGUGUUGCUCGAUCGAUCAUAGUAAAGGGAUUUGAAUCAAUCUUGCAACCGCCCAUCGUGUCAACCUCCACCCCGGCCUUUGCCAAGCAUCUUUGGACCCAACAAUUAAUAGCUCCUUGUCAUACUAUCUUUGCCCUGAACAAACUCCCAUUUUGUGAUUUGACCACUUAAGAGUUACCUAGAUUACACCGAUCCAGGUUGUUGGACGCCGCCACCUAGCCGGCCUUAUCCAUUCGACAUCUCUUCCUACUAUUUUUCAUCAUUACCCCUAUUCCCUCUGUAGAUCACCUCAAGUUGUUCGUCUUGAUUCUAUGUAGGGGUGCAAUCAUCCAGACAAGAGAAGUCCAACAAGGGUUUUACACUCUAAUCCUUAAAUCGAGGUAAAAUCUUAACCAUUUUAUUUAUUUAAUUUUGAUAAUUGUAUGGGUCAGGGUAAGGUAAGAAAAUCUAGGGUUAGAGGUAGUAGGGGCAUCAAGAUAUAGAAUUAGAAAAUCAGUAAAUAAUUAAUUAAAUUAAUAUUGCAUAUGGUUGGUCAACUUCCAUACAAGCUAAGGAUCAUGUUGUUGUCGGUAAUUAUCAUGUUCGUCUAGAUCCUAGGUGUAUCGAAGACUUUGAGUUUUAUUUUAAAAUUUAUGAUGGCCAAAUCUUGAUAUUAGGUUCUAAAGGAAAUUUUCAAAAUUAGGUGGGUUCGUCUACUAAGUAAGCUCGCAAGGCAAGUAAUGUUCACCUUUCCUAUUUUUUUCAUUUAUUUACUUCAAAUAGAUAUUGAUAUCAAAUAAAUUAUAAAUCGAUUAACAUGCAAUUCAUGAAUUUUAUGAGUUUGUUGAACCUGUGUUUAAAAGGAAAAUAGAAUUGUAAAUCGAGACUAUUAUUUUAUUGCCAAAUAUUAUGCUCAUAGGAGCAUACUUAUAGAUUCUAGCCCAUUUCAUAAGAUACAAGUGCAAUAUUCAGGCCCUCGUUGCAGGGUCUUGGCAUGGUAUUCUAGCCCACUGCACAAGGUAUAAGAGUAGUUCUCUAGCCCAGACACGGUAAAAGUGUAGUCAUAAUCUGAUAGGUUGUUAGAGUUGAAAUAUGAUAUUUUAAAUCAUUCUUUCGAAUACGAAAAUGAAUACUUGAGAAAUUCCAUACAUUCUUCUUGCAUCUUAUUAAAGUAUAACAAUUUUGUAUAUAUGCUUGGUAAAACUUAUUUAACUUACUACUUGAAUUAUCUAACUAAGAUAUUCAUUACUUACUAGGCUGUUGAGCUCAUUGUUUGGUAACUUCUUUAUAGAUCCAGCAAACUAUUGUGGGAGUUCUCGCCAUAGCCAAGAAUUAGUAUUCGUUUUCUUUGAUUUAACAUAUUGGUGAACAUUUAAUGUUAGAUUAUUGUGAACAAAAAUUCUUAAAGUUUCUUGUUAGUUUUGGACUUUUUAAAUCAUUAUUUUUAGAAUUUUAGUUUCUCUGAUUAUAUUCCACUACCUUAUUUAUUCUAUUAUGAUAUCAUGAUGGAUGUAUUGUGAUGCAAGGGACAGGAAGUAGGAGGAUGAUGGUGGAGAAGAUAAUGACAACUUCUCUCUUUUUUUUUCCACUCUUUGGGGCAGAUAUGCUUGGGUAGGGAUGAGCGGAGAGCGUUGUUCAUUUGGGUGAGGAUGUGGCUAGAUUGGGUGUGGCCAAGUGUAGAUUGGGGGUGGCAUAGAUAGGUUGAAUGAGUUGCAAUUAGACUUGAUGUGGCUUGACUAAACUAGAUGAGGCGUGGCUAUAAGAAGAAGAGCACUCAAACUCUCUAAUAUGUGGCGUGAGAAUGGAAAUAGUAAGGAUGUCGUGAGAAUGGAAAUAGUAAGAAUGGAAGGAGUCCUACCUUCACUAGGACUUUCAAAUAAGAUGGCGUGAGAAUGGGUGGAGUCCCACCUUCACUCAAACUCUUAAAUAACUUGGCAUUAGAGCAGGUGAAGGAGUACCACCUUCACUCAACCUCUCUAUUUAACUUGGUGCCUCACCAAGGGAAGAAAGCGUCGCGCUUCAGAAGAAUGUUCCAAUUCUAAACUUUUUUCUCUCUAAAAAUCUCUAUUCUACCGAUUUAUUCAUCAUCACUCCUUUUAUAGUGUAGGAGGUUGGAAACAAACACAAACAACCAGCUCUUAUCCGCUAGAGAUUAGGAGUUUGAGAUAAAUCAAACUCCUUUAUACAAGGACUCGCUAACACUCGAUCUUUGAAUGAGUCAAACAAACAAAGUAAAAUAGAAGGACUCUCAUGUCUCUAGUGGGCUUCACGCAUGCUUUGAAUGGGCUUCAUGCACACCUGAAUUUUUAAAUAAAAGGACAAGCAAACAACUAAACAAAACAAUCAAGGACUCUUCUAGCUACACGGCAGAAAAAAAACUAGACUCAAUGUGGCUUCACCCACGCCCCUGGUUGGCCUCGCGCGCCCAAUUGCCAUCAAUUUCCCCC
rnacentral:lncRNA from 1 species